AAUCGCGGAUCAGCACGCCGCGGUGAAUACGUUCCCGGGCCUUGUACACACCGCCCGUCACACCAUGGAAGUCUGCAAUGCCCGAAGCCGGUGGCCUAACCACUUAUGUGGAAGGAGCCGUCUAAGGCAGGGCAGAUGACUGGGGUGAAGUCGUAACAAGGUAUC
rnacentral:rRNA from 1 species